rnacentral:tRNA from 1 species
GGUGAGGUGGCAGAGCGGUUGAAUGCUCCGGUCUUGAAAACCGGCGAAGGGGCAACUCUUCCGUGGGUUCGAAUCCCACCCUCACCGCCA